UAGGGAAUCUUCGGCAAUGGGGGCAACCCUGACCGAGCAACGCCGCGUGAGUGAAGAAGAUUUUCGGAUCGUAAAGCUCUGUUGUAAGAGAAGAACGUGUGUGAGAGUGGAAAGUUCACACAGUGACGGUAACUUACCAGAAAGGGACGGCUAACUACGCGCCAG
rnacentral:rRNA from 1 species